rnacentral:lncRNA from 1 species
UGUGGAGGCACGGCGCUUGUUGUGGGCAGGGUGGAUGCCUCCAUCCACACUGUUAAGAUGUAGAUGCCAGCCUUUGUUGCUUUUUACUCUGGAAUUCUGGGUGGGCUGGCCCAAGGAUCAUUCUUCCUCAAACACAAACUUUUUUCCUCACAGUGGCGAUACUGUAUACGCUUGGAAAACUUGGACAGUGACGUGGUACAGCUCCGGGAGCGGCACUGGCGGAUAUUCAGUCUCUCAGGGACCUUGGAAACAGUUCGAGGACGAGGGGUGGUGGGCAGGGUGAGCAUCAUUGGGCCACUAUGGCCUAGUUGCUGGUCCUGUUAGCAGGCCUGGGAACCUCGUGUAUGUCUUAUUCCUCUCCAGUAUGGAUAGUGUGUGUUCCUGUGUGUAUGGGUAUUCGUGUGUGGUGGGGCAGAUGGUCUGUAAG